UACGGGGGGAGCAAGCGUUGUUCGGAUUUACUGGGCGUAAAGGGCGCGUAGGCGGCCACCGCAAGUCGACUGUGAAAUCUCCGGGCUUAACCCGGAAAGGUCAGCCGAUACUGCGGGGCUAGAGUGCAGAAGGGGCAACUGGAAUUCUCGGUGUAGCGGUGAAAUGCGUAGAUAUCUGAAGGAACAUCAGUGGCGAAAGCGACUUCCUGGACGAAUACUGACGCUCAUGUGCGAAAGCGUGGGGAGCAAACAGG
rnacentral:rRNA from 1 species